AUUGAACGCUGGCGGCAGGCCUAACACAUGCAAGUCGAACGGCAGCGGGGGAUAGCUUGCUAUCCUGCCGGCGAGUGGCGGACGGGUGAGUAAGGCAUGGGGAGCUGCCCAAUCGAGGGGGAUAACAACUGGAAACGGUUGCUAAUACCGCAUACGCCCUGCGGGGGAAAGGUGGGGACCUACGGGCCUACCGCGAUUGGAUGCACCCAUGUGGGAUUAGCUGGUUGGUGAGGUAACGGCUCACCAAGGCGACGAUCUCUAGCUGGUCUGAGAGGAUGACCAGCCACACUGGAACUGAGACACGGUCCAGACUCCUACGGGUGGCUG
rnacentral:rRNA from 1 species